AGUUCUGAUAUAUGGGUACCCGGUGUAAAUUGGCCUGUAAGGCUGGUCAUGGCAUAUAUAUCUAGCGAUUCGUCGACCUACGUAAAGAACGGAGAACCCGUAACAGUCCCCUAUGAGGGUAUUCCUAUCGAAGGAUUCUUGAGCAUAGAUGAUAUUACUAUAGGUCAAAUGGUUGUGCAAAACAACAAUUCAUAGAGGCUAAUAACGAAGCCGGUGGAAAAAACACAAUUCAAUAUAUGCCUUUAGAUGGUAUUCUUGGGCUGGGAUUCCAAGAGAAUUCUGUGAAACGUUCGGUCCCUCUUUGGGAGAACAUGCGAACACAAGGUCUGAUUCAACAGCAUAUUUUCUCCAUUUGGUUAAAAUAUUACAACCCACAAGAUGCAGAAAAUGGAGUUAUCAUAUUUGGUGGAUACGAUCAAGCCCACUUUAAAGGGUCGCACACCUAUGUUCCUGUAACACAGAAUGUUUAUUGGGAGUUCGUUAUGGGGACAAUACACAUCGGAGGGGAACAAACUGAUCUUUGCCCCGAGGGUUGUGCAGCAAUUGUUGACACCGUCUAUUCUAUAGUGAGAGGCCCACGGGUAAGAAAUUUUAUUGUAUAUUUUUUUUUGUCCUCUCAUGUUGAAAAUGACAUCCCGUUUAUGUGGCAUUUUUUCGUUGUUGUAAAUAACCUAAUGGUUUUUUUUCUAGUCUAUAAUUAAUAGUAUAAAUCGAGCUAUAGGAGUAGACGACUUUCUUACAGGAUCAGUGGAUUGCACAAAGAUUUCCUCAAUGCCCACAAUCUCCUUCACCAUCGGUGAAAAAACUUUCUCUAUACUCCCUAAUGAUUAUAUAGAAAAAUCUACAACAUGGUGCACAUCCUUAUUCAGGCCCCAUAUUGGUGGUCAUGAUGAUGAUGAUGAUCAC